GGCCCUGGGAGGGCACAGAAGGAGCCCUACCUUGCCGGGGGCUAGGGGGCCAGGAAGCAAACACAUCCCAGAGAAGGGAAGAAAGUGGAAGGACAUUCACAAAGGUUUGUCUAAUAAAUCAGAUGUUUAAAUUAAGGAAAGUGGAAAUGAAAACUAGAGAAUAAACCCACUUAAGUGAGCUGGGGGAGACUGAAGAGCUGCCACACCCCCGGAGGCUGCCAUGGCCGAUGGCCCCAGAGAGUAGGAUUCACCAGGAGAUGCUCCAAACCCACAGCAGGCCAGACUGACUGUGACCCACUGACGGGGGCGCUCUUCACUGUUUGUUCAAGGAGAACACCCUAUUGUGCAAAGAAGCCAAGUUACCCUGCAGACAAAAGUCAUGAUCAGAUGCAUCUAUCAGAAACCUCUCUAGCUAGUUUGAGCAGGAAUCAGGCACCGACCAGGACUGAAGGAACAGCUGCUAAGCUGGAAGGAAAUGCAGAACAGAACUGGCCGCCCUGGAACAACCAGGGAAGGAGGAAUCCGGAGCCACAAUCCCAACCACUACCUCCAGGACACAGCCUCCAGCAGCAUCCAGGGGAGAGGAGGCAGAGAUCAGGAAUUUCGAGGAGUUGAAGCGAAGCUCAGCAAGAGAGGAGAUGCCGUCACCAACCACCUGGAACCAGACCAGGCCUCACCACCAGACCUCACCUGUGACCUUUGCCUUAUUUUGAAGGGUAAGAGCCCUCCAGGAGGAGCUUCGCCCUUAUUGCCAUCACCUGCAGUGCGUGUGGAAGCACGAUUUCAAACUGAGCUUGUGCAAGAGGAUUCCCACCUCUCCCUUUGGAAUAUUCAUUCCUCAUCCCAAAGAAAAGGUCCCUGCUUCCCGUGGUUCGGGGACGCCAUGACUCUGGAGAUGAUUCCCCUGGGUCUCCUCUUUGCUGCAAACAUACUUCACUUUGUGGGACAGCUGGUUCUGGUGGGGAGUCUGAUGUGACUUGCCAGGAGGGGACCUCCUUCAGUGUCGUCAGUAACCAAAGAGUUCACACCACGUUGCCUCCUGUCAUUAGGAGAAGGCUGACCCUGUGAAACAGCACUGUGCUGGGCCACAUGGCGUCUUGUUACCCACAGUCGCCCUCCUGAAGCUGGGUGUCCACCGAGCAUCUGCCUGGGCCCUGGUCUAUGGAGCAGCCCGUCAGGGGCCUUUGGGGCCUGGAGGUCUCUGAAUGCCUCUUUGCAGCAUGCAUGCCUUUCUUCCCCACAUCUCUGAGUGUGAGGACAUGCCAGGGCUGGUGUGGAGUGUGCAGAGUGCACUUUACCAGGCAACAGUCUAUUUUUGUGUUUCGAGCACCUCCUCUCCUCUGAAACUUUCCCUGUGCCUCUGACCCACCGUUUACCUGUGUGUGUGCUCACGUGUGUGUGCAUAUGUGCUCACGUGUGUGUGCAUGUGUGUACAGGUUAAGGUGGGUCUCCCACCCCUGCCCCAGACAUUGCUGAGCUCUCUGGGGGACUGAAGCCAGAAGAUGCUGUCGACGAAAA
rnacentral:lncRNA from 1 species